UUUGAGGGAUAGCUCAGUCAGUAGAGCAUGAGAGUUUUAAUCUCAGGAUUGUGGGUUCAAGCCCCACAUUGGGCAAAA